GAUGAACGCUAGCUACAGGCUUAACACAUGCAAGUCGAGGGGCAGCAUGGUCUUAGCUUGCUAAGACUGAUGGCGACCGGCGCACGGGUGAGUAACACGUAUCCAACCUGCCGUCUACUCUUGGACAGCCUUCUGAAAGGAAGAUUAAUACAAGAUGGCAUCAUGAGUCCGCAUGUUCACAUGAUUAAAGGUAUUCCGGUAGACGAUGGGGAUGCGUUCCAUUAGAUAGUAGGCGGGGUAACGGCCCACCUAGUCUUCGAUGGAUAGGGGUUCUGAGAGGAAGGUCCCCCACAUUGGAACUGAGACACGGUCCAAACUCCUACGGGAGGCAGCAGUGAGGAAUAUUGGUCAAUGGGCGAGAGCCUGAACCAGCCAAGUAGCGUGAAGGAUGACUGCCCUAUGGGUUGUAAACUUCUUUUAUAAAGGAAUAAAGUCGGGUAUGGAUACCCGUUUGCAUGUACUUUAUGAAUAAGGAUCGGCUA
rnacentral:rRNA from 1 species